rnacentral:rRNA from 1 species
AUGGAACUUUGCUUCGCUGAUAAGCUCGCCACUGGGAGGUUUUCAAUGGGCUCUGGUGUGCCAUUGGGAAAACCUGUUGAUGUGGAGGGCAAAGGAAAACCCAUUGUUGUGGAGGGGCAAGGAACAAGUGGCGAGGGAUUUGUGAAUGGUCCUGUUGGGUCUGAGUUCGUAUUUGUUGGUGCUAGUGAAACUAAUGAUCCUUCUCCUACUACAACUAAGAAGAGGAAGAGGACAUCUAUUAUGACUGAAGAAGACUCAAUCCAGGUUAACAACAUGUCUGAUGUUCACUAG